GACCAGACUCCUACGGGAGGCAGCAGUGGGGGAUAUUGCACAAUGGGGGGAACCCUGAUGCAGCGACGCCGCGUGGGUGAAGGAGCGUUUCGGCGCGUAAAGCCCUAUCGGCAGGGAAGAAGGAGGACGGUACCUGACUAAGAAGCCCCGGCUAACUCCGUGCCAGCAGCCGCGGUAAUACGGAGGAUGCGAGCGUUAUCCGGAUUUAUUGGGUUUAAAGGGUGCGCAGGCGGAGGCACAAGUCAGCGGUAAAAUCGCGGGGCUCAACCCCGGCGAGCCGUUGAAACUGGCUGUCUUGAGAUGUCGAGAGGUAUGCGGAAUGCGCAGUGUAGCGGUGAAAUGCUUAGAUAUUGCGCAGAACUCCGAUUGCGAAGGCAGCAUACCGGCGGCGAUCUGACGCUGAGGCACGAAAGCGUGGGUAUUGAACAGGAUUAGAUACCCCCGUAU
rnacentral:rRNA from 1 species